rnacentral:misc_RNA from 1 species
UUUCCGUAGGUGAACCUGCGGAAGGAUCAUUCAUAAUAAAGUGUUUUAUGGCACUUUUUAAAAAUCCAUAUCCACCUUGUGUGCAAUGUUAGAUCUCGUCAAUCUUGGCGAGGUUUUUAUACAUCAACUCAUUCUUUAACUAAUUUGUCUGAAAAAUAUUAUGAGUACUUAAUUCAAAAUACAACUUUCAACAACGGAUCUCUUGGCUCUC